AUCCAGUGGGCUCAUGGCUGAGGGAAUGAAGGGGUGUGCCAGCAAACGUGAUUUUUGGUCAAGUCGUGCUGGAGGACCUCAGCUGGACACUUAGCCAUGUUAAACCUCUCGUUCAGGCAGGGGGCAGUGUUAUUAAAUAGGAAUGGCAGCGGAAAGCUUUGUACAAGAUUUUUCUGACUGUUGUCUCUGAAGGAUAACUUUUCCUACAAAGGAAGAUGAUGAAAUUUGGCUGUCAGAGGUCCAGGAUUCCUAGCCUUCUCGAAUGUUGGGAUUUUUCUCUCCCGGUCAGCAGCAGCCAUUAAGACUUCACUUUGGAAAAAAAGUGAAUGCCAUGAAGACGGAUUUGAUGUCAGAUCUGCGGACAUGAGGUGGUAUCAUCAGAGAAGCAGCCCAAAUCCUGCUAGUGCACCGAGGAUGGCACGAAGGAAGACAUUUGGAUUAAGACAUGGGAGAAUUUGAUAUCCAGACUAUUUGUAUCAAAUCAAAUCUGUAGUUCCUGAGAUAAUAUGUUGUUAAACUCUAGGGGUGGAAACCCCUUUGAUCUCUAAGGUCUGUAUGACCCAUGAAGUAGUUGAUCAGGAAAUGUUUGUUUAUUAAAUGAGUGAAAUCAGGGCACUUAACAGAUUGUCUUGUGUGGAAAGUCUUAAUUGGAAGGAAACUAAUUUUUGUGACC